ensembl:lncRNA
AUUAGCCAUUACGUUGUGAAGCUCGGUGCAGUAGCUGAUGUGAAAGUACAUUUUAUGUGGUGGCGAGGUGGAAAUAUGAUCCAUACGUAUUAUGAAUGAGAUAAGAAUGAUCUGAGACAACUUCAGACUGUGGAAGUGUUACAAUAUUUUCUAUAUUUAAUCCGUACAUAUGAGGUCAAGAGUGUGACCACCAUUAUGAGUAGGUCCGAUUACGUUCUGAUUAAUCCCUACUGAAUCGGAGAUGGACACAACCGCUGUUCUCAGAGGGUCUUCUGGGUUAUCAAAAUGAAUAUUAAAGUCUCAGACGAUUAAUGCUUUAUCUACAGACACAACCAGGUUUGAGAUAAAGUCUGCAAAUUCACUAAGAAAUUCAGUAUAUGGCCCUGGGGGUCUGUAAAUAAUAAUUAGAGGAAUUAACUUUUUUUUGUGGCUACAUAAGUUAUACUGGUAUAAUUUCAAAAGAAUUAAAUUUAUGCUUAAGUUUUUGUGUGACGACUAGAUUUUGACUAUGGAUGAGACCAACACCUCCUCCUCUACCAGUUGAACGAGGCUGGUACAUAACUGUAUCCAGGAGGACUAGCUUCAUUUAAAGCUAUGUACUCGUUUGGUUUAAUCCAAGUUUCUGUUAAACACAUUAAAUUACAUUCCUGAUCAGUAAUGAUGUCGUUAACAAUAAGAGCCUUAGACGCAAGAGAUCUAAUGUUUAAUAGUCCUAGCUUCAGAUUAAAGGUGCUGGCUGUGCAUUCAGUAUGAUCUAAUUUUAGGUUAAUUAGGUUACUAAAACAAACAUUCUGAAAUUGUCUAUGUAUUUGUAUAGCUCAGGGAACAGACACAGUCUCUAUAGUAUGUACUACAGGUGUUGGACUAUUAAUUGAACAUUGCUUAUGAUGAACGUUGUUAUUGUAGAGGAUGUGCUUACGGUAGACAGUCACUUGGUGUGUAGCGUCUUGGAGAUGUUGUCAGACAGCAGUUCCACUCCGAGGCUGCUGGGGUGCAGGCCAUCAGGACAAAACAACCUAGGACACUCCCAGAACAGAUUCCAGUUAUUGACUAACAGCAGAUUCUGUUCAUUACACUGUGAGGGAAAUUAUUAAUUUUUACUUUGAAAUAGUUUUGUUCUUGUUCUGUUUCAUUCUCAUGUGAGGAUAACGACUCAGAAGGCCAUGUGAUGUCACUGAGAUCAGAAUGUUUAUCUGCUUACAG